GUGGGGGGAUUAGUGGCGAACGGGUGAGUAACACGUGAGUAACCUGCCCUUGACUCUGGGAUAAGCCUGGGAAACCGGGUCUAAUACUGGAUACGACCUUCUGGCGCAUGCCAUGUUGGUGGAAAGCUUUUGUGGUUUUGGAUGGACUCGCGGCCUAUCAGCUUGUUGGUGGGGUAAUGGCCUACCAAGGCGACGACGGGUAGCCGGCCUGAGAGGGUGACCGGCCACACUGGGACUGAGACACGGCCCAGACUCCUACGGGAGGCAGCAGUGGGGAAUAUUGCACAAUGGGCGCAAGCCUGAUGCAGCGACGCCGCGUGAGGGAUGAAGGCCUUCGGGUUGUAAACCUCUUUCAGUAGGGAAGAAGUCCAUCUUUUGGGUGGGUGACGGUACCUGCAGAAGAAGCGCCGGCUAACUACGUGCCAGCA
rnacentral:rRNA from 1 species